rnacentral:rRNA from 1 species
AUACGGAGGGUGCGAGCGUUAAUCGGAAUUACUGGGCGUAAAGCGCGGGCAGGUGGUCUGUUAAGUCGUUUGUGAAAAUCCGGGGCUCAACCCCGCGAAAUGCAGACGAUACUGGCAGGCUGGAGAUCGGUAGAGGCUAGCGGAAUUCCUGGUGUAGCGGUGGAAUGCGUAGAUAUCAGGAAGAACACCAGUGGCGAAGGCGGCUAGCUGGGCCGAGUCUGACACUCAUCCGCGAAAGCGUGGGGAGCAAACAGGAUUAGAAACCCUAGUAGUCC